UGCAAGUCGAGCGGAUGACGGGAGCUUGCUCCUUGAUUCAGCGGCGGACGGGUGAGUAAUGCCUAGGAAUCUGCCUGGUAGUGGGGGACAACGUUUCGAAAGGAACGCUAAUACCGCAUACGUCCUACGGGAGAAAGCAGGGGACCUUCGGGCCUUGCGCUAUCAGAUGAGCCUAGGUCGGAUUAGCUAGUAGGUGAGGUAAUGGCUCACCUAGGCGACGAUCCGUAACUGGUCUGAGAGGAUGAUCAGUCACACUGGAACUGAGACACGGUCCAGACUCCUACGGGAGGCAGCAGUGGGGAAUAUUGGACAAUGGGCGAAAGCCUGAUCCAGCCAUGCCGCGUGUGUGAAGAAGGUCUUCGGAUUGUAAAGCACUUUAAGUUGGGAGGAAGGGCAGUAAGCUAAUACCUUGCUGUUUUGACGUUACCGACAGAAUAAGCACCGGCUAACUCUGUGCCAGCAGCCGCG
rnacentral:rRNA from 1 species